UACAGAGGGUGCAAGCGUUGUUCGGAAUCAUUGGGCGUAAAGCGCACGUAGGCGGACUGUUAAGUCGGAUGUGAAAUCCCGGGGCUCAACCUCGGACGUGCAUUCGAAACUGGCAGCCUUGAGUCUCGGAGAGGGUGGUGGAAUUCCCAGUGUAGAGGUGAAAUUCGUAGAUAUUGGGAGGAACACCGGUGGCGAAGGCGACCACCUGGACGAAGACUGACGCUGAGGUGCGAAAGCGUGGGGAUCAAACAGG
rnacentral:rRNA from 1 species